rnacentral:rRNA from 1 species
UCCAGACUCCUACGGGAGGCAGCAGUGGGGAAUAUUGCACAAUGGGGGAAACCCUGAUGCAGCGGCGCCGCGUGAGUGAAGAAGUAUUUCGGUAUGUAAAGCUCUAUCAGCAGGGAAGAAAAUGACGGUACCUGAUUAAGAAGCCCCGGCUAACUACGUGCCAGCAGCCGCGGUAAUACGUAGGGGGCAAGCGUUAUCCGGAUUUACUGGGUGUAAAGGGAGCGUAGACGGCGUGCCAAGUCUGAUGUGAAAGGCCGGGGCUCAACCCCGGGACUGCAUUGGAAACUGGCAUGCUGGAGUGCCGGAGGGGCGAGCGGAAUUCCUAGUGUAGCGGUGAAAUGCGUAGAUAUUAG